CAAUCCUCUGGCCUCAGCCUCCCGAGUGGAAUAACAGACUUUCACUAGGAUUCCUGUGUGCUAACCGGAGAAUGUCUUCAACAUUGAACUCGAUUCAGAAACACUUGGAGCAGGGCCGCUUGAAAUUUUAAAAGGGUCACAAAUCCAUACAAGGAAUGAAAUCAACAAUCUGUGUUCUCCAGGCUGAGGACAACAGCUGCCGAGAACAACUGAUCUGCACCGUGACAAGGACUGAAUCUGCCGGGGAUUAGGAGAAAAGAACAUAAAAGGACAAGAGGCUUUUAAGAAGGAUGAUUUGGCAGACAACAUGACUAUCUGGUACUUUGUUCUGUGCUGGAGGUUAAGCAGCUUUGACACUUUCUGUGGCACUGACUCUAAGGGAGAACCAAGAAUUUGCUACUGCUACAUGCUGUUACGUAACGCAUCACAGAGUUCUUUCUGAGCAACCCAGGGUUACCCACAGGACAGCCAUGACCAGGUAUUCCACCAAACGAGCCCAGGAACAUAUUUCUGUCCAAACAACUUCUGUCAAGAAAAGAUUCUUGGAUGGAAUAAGAUUGUAGAAGAAACUUCUGCAAGUGAUUUUAGAACUGCCAGCUCUGAACUAGCUUUCCCAGCCUUAACAUUCUGCCUAGGUCCUGCUCACACGAGCCAAACUCUGCAUUGCUUUGCUCCAAUCCUACAGAACAGCUCAGAAUGUCUUGCUUUCCUUUGCAUCAGAGGGAGUAUCUGCACAAAGCAUACCUUGAGUCUUAAAGGCAUAAAAUAAAUGGCUUAUUUUUGGCAACCUUUGUAUUUUGUAUCUGUUUAAAUAGUUAUGAUUCUCCAAUAUCUUUCCUUUUGUAUAGAAAGGGCCAGUUGACAAGGCCUAUGAAUGGCACAGAGACCUCACACACAGGAGGCUUUGAUUUUUCCACUCACCCUGUGUUUAUUCAAUGAGAAAGACCAUGGGAUGGAAGAGGAAUCUGGGUUGGAAUCUGCUUCUUCCAGUUACUACGUGAAAAAACUGACCUCUUACUAAGCUCUUUAGAGCUUCCACUGGUUGUUAUAUUGACAUGUAAAGCUGACCUCUGAAACAAUCUACCUAAAGAGCUUACAUGAUUGUGGGGUAGAACACCUGCUUAGUAGACAGGUCUUGGCAUUAUAUUAUGUGCUUGUAACAAUCGUUUGGCAAACACAGUUAAUUUAUUAGAAUGUUGUAUUACUAUCUUUUCUUAUUGAUGCUGUUCUGUGUUACUAAAUUAUGGGUGAUUCUAUCCUGUUUUUGGAUUUUUUUUAAAGUAUGCUAACAUCUAUAGAGUACUGACUUUAAUCCCAGACACUUCAGUAAGUGAUUAAGACAAUAAAUUAUAACUCUUAUAAGAUUUCCACUAAUCCUCUCAAGUAGUAUCAAUACCUCCAUUAAACUGAGAUCUACAGAUGUUGAGCAACUUUCCUCAGAUCACACAGCUAGAAAGUGCUACAACCACAAUAGAACAAUCUAUAUCUGGGUCAAACAUCGUGCUGUAUGCAAUGGGUUUUUAACCACCAUUUUCUCUCUUUUUUUCUAAGGUCUUUUAUUCAUUCUACAGCCACUUAGUGACUUUCUUCAAUAUCCAAGGUAGCGUUUUUCCUGUAUGCCAUUGAGUUAUUUCAAGGACCACGUGACUUUUGUCUAGUAAGUUGUAAUUUUUUUCUCCAUAAUAAAAGCAGUUUUAACCGA